rnacentral:rRNA from 1 species
GAUGAACGCUGGCGGCGUGCCUAAUACAUGCAAGUCGAGCGAACGGACGGGAAGCUUGCUUUUCUGAUGUUAGCGGCGGACGGGUGAGUAACACGUGGAUAACCUACCUAUAAGACUGGGAUAACUUCGGGAAACCGGAGCUAAUACCGGAUAAUAUUUUGAACCGCAUGGUUCAAAAGUGAAAGACGGUCUUGCUGUCACUUAUAGAUGGAUCCGCGCUGCAUUAGCUAGUUGGUAAGGUAACGGCUUACCAAGGCAACGAUGCAUAGCCGACCUGAGAGGGUGAUCGGCCACACUGGAACUGAGACACGGUCCAGACUCCUACGGGAGGCAGCAGUAGGGAAUCUUCCGCAAUGGGCGAAAGCCUGACGGAGCAACGCCGCGUGAGUGAUGAAGGUCUUCGGAUCGUAAAACUCUGUUAUUAGGGAAGAACAUAUGUGUAAGUUACUGUGCACAUCUUGACGGUACCUAAUCAGAAAGCCACGGCUAACUACGUG